AUGCUUAAGCUCAAAAUCUUAGGACUAGCGGCAAUCGACCGCGCGAGGAAGCGCCAGGCCUCUAGAAUUACAUGGCUGCAAGCUGGGGACGCGCCAACUACCUUCUUCCAAGCGAAGAUCAAUGCUAGGAGAUGGAAAGCAUUCACCCACACACUUCAUGGACCAUCCGGUGUAGUCACCUCGCAGGAGGACAAGGAAAACUUGAUCCACGAUCAUUUCUCCUCCAUAUUGGGCACGGAAGCGCACCGUGACACCACCGUCAAUUGGCGUUCUCUUGCCAUGACCAGGCUGCAGGGCAGAGGGCUCGACAACCCUUUCACAGAGGACAAAGUGUGGCGUGCAAUCAAAGCAUCGCCGGCACACCGUGCACCGGGGCCGGACGGUUUCUCUGGCACCUUCUUCAGGUCAUGCUGGGCAACAAUCAAAGGCGACAUCAUUGCAGUGUUCAACCAGUUUUACAACCUAGUAGGAAGCAACUUUGGAGCUCUCCACACUGCGGUCAUCGCAUUACUGCCAAAGAAGGAUGGACCGGUGUCAAUUAGCGACUAG
rnacentral:rRNA from 1 species